UUCAGACUGGAUAAAAGCUCCUCCUAGUAGAAACAAGACCUUCUUCCCAGCUCCCUGAAUUCCACCUCGGGGAAGUACAUGACAGUGAUUAUGCUUAAUGUAGACUGCCAUUUUAGAAGAAGUGGACAGAAUAAGACGGGUCCUGAUUGCUCCUCUACUCCCCUUCCACUUGAAGACUCUGACCAGAAAUCUGGGCCUCAAUCUGAUGUCAUUGUGCAGGAUCCAACCACAGUGAUGGCCUCAGUUGGUUCAGAGGAGAGAAGACAACACCCUGGAGGUUAGAGGAACUCUUUCCACUAGCACAAAGUAGUAUGUGUAGUAUGUGUGUACUAUGUGCAUUAAUGGGAAUAUUUACUCUGGAUUGAUUGGACAAUUUUACAUAUAACCUUUUUCAGUUUACAAUCCUGUUGGAAAUAUAAUUAGUUUGGAAAGGGGACCUCUGAUCAGUUCUCCCAUGUUAUGACAGUUAGUGGAGUGAAUGCCACAAGGUCAAUGUCAGUCUUAGGCCACUCCCCUCCAAAGUAGCUUUGACAAUGAGACAUGCACAUCUUUGGCCCUUAGUCAGUGGGCAUGUUCUUCCCACCCACCAUGGCUCUCUACUCUGAAGGCACAAGGACCUUCUCCCAACUUGCACCCUUCAAAUUUCUCUAAUAAUUCUAGGGGACACCUAUCAAGCUGAGUGGUCUCAGUAAAAUUUCUUCCACGGGAGACUUAAAGUGAAGGAGUGAUUCUUCCUCAGCAGCCAACCUACAUCUGGCAGAAGUCUGAGUGUGCAGUUUACAUAGGCUGGAGGUGGUGGAUGGGCAAAGAUUACAAAGCUGACUUUCUGGCCCUCCUUUGCAGAAUUUACGUAAUUUGGCUCAGCCCAUCACAGUAGAAUGUGAGAGUAUUUGUCACCGAUUUUGUGUGUAUGUGACCUCAGCCAAAUCUGAGGUAGAAAGAGUUCCAAUAUAAAAUUUUGUUACAAAAAACUUUUUUGGUUUCUGUGGAAAUUCCUUUUUUUUAUAAAAAGACCAUGUAACAUUUUACACAAAGAAAAUCUUAACAAGGACUCCAAAUUAGAAAUUACUCGGGCUACAUUUUAGGAAAUAAACUGUAAAAAUAAAGGCAGAUAUUUAGACAUGAAGAAGACUUCUCUAUGUAACCCCUGGGUUAACUUGGGAAAUCAAAGCUAAGAUUAAAUUCUAACUUGAAAUGAGCAAUGAGAACACUAUUUGGUUCAUCAUGUGAAUGUGAUUGAAAGGCUACACAGAGGAAAAUACAUAGCUCUUAAAAUAUUUGUUAAAAUAC
ensembl:lncRNA